CAGUUAAUAUUAUUAUUAACUCGAUGAUAUACAAGCAGUUCGACAAGAUACGAAUGGAUCCUGACGUAGUAUGCAUGCGUGUCAGCGGCAAUACCGAAAAUUGCCGCUAGGAAAAAGUGUUCAAGGCCGAACCUUUCUGAUGCAAAGCUGAAGCACUUUUUCACGAUAGACGCUCAGGGCAGCACAAAGCGCCAGAAUGCCGCAACCUCAAAGGGCGUAGAUUGCGUACAUUUACACUUUAUCAUUUUUAAUCUGGCAGUUUUGCUUAGUGGUUUAAGAGCGCAACUUAACACCAGCAUUCUUAAUUAGACGGAAACCCCAGAUCUUGAGCCAACAUCAGAAUUAAAGGAGGCUCCAUACACAAACAAAUAAAGGCAGCCAAGGACGGAUAUUAGUAGACGCCAGCGUUAUCUCCGUUGCGUUUCUUGUGUUGCACAGAUCCGUGUCGCAGUCGCAAUAGCUGCUAUCCACCGUAUUUCCGCCACUGUAGGUAGGGUUAUAGGAAACUUCAAUACAGUUUCCAGGACAGGUUUGCUUAUUCCAAUACGAAACAUUUAUUUGCUGACCCCGGCUGCCGCAAGGGUACUUUUCACUGCCUUCGUAACGGCCUUCCGUACAAAAAUAACAAGACAACGCGAAAGUAGAUUUCGGAAUUCUGGUAACAACGUAUCCAAAGAGAGCCAACACACGGAAAAAGCUUUCUAUUUUGGAGGCUAUUUACCGUGAACGAUAUUCUCCAGAACCCGACAUCUGGUAAUUUUGGUAUACGCUGUACCUACAUUGUUCAGCCCACUUGCGCAGUUAAGGCUACUACUACAUCAGAGGAAACCACCCGGAGCCUAAUCAAAGGGGAUCUUCCGGAAAUUACACCGUGCUUCAAAAGAAGGGGUGCCAAGGUGGAGCGCUACUUGAAGAGAAGAAUAGUACAGGCGCUGCAUUUGCGAUACCGAUGUUUGUGACACCAGAAACUCCUCGCAAAUCAGCAAUGGCGACGGAUAAGUUAUCUUGCCUACCAGUGUUUUAUUCGACCUGGUUAUUUAUUUUAAAUAUCCAGGUCGAAUACAACACUGACAGCCAAGAAAACCUAUUAUUGCUGACGCCAUCCCUAAAAUAAUUAUUUCCGCUUGCUAAACGUUUUUAUUUAAACGUGUGAACAGUUUUGGUGGCUAAAUAUUGAGCAAUGCGCUAAGGAAUGGCCUGAUUUAGUUUAAGGCCUGAUGGCCUGCACACAACAGUUUAAGGAUUGCUGCGUACUCAGGAUGUCAGUGUGGA